GCGCGAAAACUUUACAAUGCGGGAAACCGUGAUAAGGGAACUCCGAGUGCCCGUAAAAUCGGGCUGUCCACCAGUGCAAAUAACUGGUGAAGAAAGGGCCGGGCAAGACCGGUGCCAGCCGCCGCGGUAAUACCGGCGGCUCGAGUGGUGGCCACUAUUACUGGGCUUAAAGCGUUCGUAGCUGGUCUGUUAAGUCUCUGGGGAAAUCUACUGGCUUAACCAAUAGGCAUCUCAGGGAUACUGGCAGACUAGGGACCGGGAGAGGUGAGGGGUACUCCAGGGGUAGGAGUGAAAUCCUGUAAUCCUUGGGGGACCACCUGUGGCGAAGGCGCCUCACCAGAACGGCUCCGACAGUGAGGGACGAAAGCUGGGGGAGCAAACCGGAUUAGAUACCCGGGUAGUCCCAGCUGUAAACGAUGCGCGUUAGGUGUAUCGGUGACCACGAGUCACCGGAGGUCGCCGAAGAGAAAUCGUGAAACGUGCCGCCGUGGGAAGUACGGUCGCAAGGCUAGAAACUUAAGGAAUUGGGACGGGGGUA
rnacentral:rRNA from 1 species